AACGAACGCUGGCGGCAGGCUUAACACAUGCAAGUCGAACGCCCCGCAAGGGGAGUGGCAGACGGGUGAGUAACGCGUGGGAAUCAACCCAGAUCUACGGAACAACAGUUGGAAACGACUGCUAAUACCGUAUACGCCCUACGGGGGAAAGAUUUAUCGGAUUUGGAUGAGCCCGCGUUGGAUUAGCUAGUUGGUGGGGUAAUGGCCUACCAAGGCGACGAUCCAUAGCUGGUCUGAGAGGAUGAUCAGCCACACUGGGACUGAGACACGGCCCAGACUCCUACGGGAGGCAGCAGUGGGGAAUAUUGGACAAUGGGCGCAAGCCUGAUCCAGCCAUGCCGCGUGAGUGAUGAAGGCCUUAGGGUUGUAAAGCUCUUUCACCGAUGAAGAUAAUGACGGUAGUCGGAGAAGAAGCCCCGGCUAACUUCGUGCCAGCCGCCGCAGUAA
rnacentral:rRNA from 1 species